rnacentral:rRNA from 1 species
GACGAACGCUGGCGGCGUGCCUAAUACAUGCAAGUCGAGCGAACCUUUAAAAGCUUGCUUUUAAAGGUUAGCGGCGGACGGGUGAGUAACACGUGGGCAACCUGCCUGUAAGACUGGGAUAACUUCGGGAAACCGGAGCUAAUACCGGAUAAUUCUUUUCUACACAUGUAGGAAAGCUGAAAGACGGUUUCGGCUGUCACUUACAGAUGGGCCCGCGGCGCAUUAGCUAGUUGGUGAGGUAAUGGCUCACCAAGGCAACGAUGCGUAGCCGACCUGAGAGGGUGAUCGGCCACACUGGGACUGAGACACGGCCCAGACUCCUACGGGAGGCAGCAGUAGGGAAUCUUCCGCAAUGGACGAAAGUCUGACGGAGCAACGCCGCGUGAGUGAUGAAGGUUUUCGGAUCGUAAAACUCUGUUGUUAGGGAAGAACAAGUACGAGAGUAACUGCCCGUACCUUGACGGUACCUAACCAGAAAGCCACGGCUAACUACGUGCCAGCCGCCGCAGUAAGAC